rnacentral:misc_RNA from 1 species
GAUGAAGAACGUAGCGAAAUGCGAUAAGUAAUGUGAAUUGCAGAAUUCAGUGAAUCAUCGAAUCUUUGAACGCACAUUGCGCCCGCCAGUAUUCUGGCGGGCAUGCCUGUUCGAGCGUCAUUACAACCCUCAGGCCCCCGGGCCUGGCGUUGGGGAUCGGCGGAAGCCCCCUGUGGGCACACGCCGUCCCUCAAAUACAGUGGCGGUCCCGCCGCAGCUUCCAUUGCGUAGUGGCUAACACCUCGCAACUGGAGAGCGGCGCGGCCAUGCCGUAAAACACCCAACUUCUGAAUGUUGACCUCGAAUCAGGUAGGAAUACCCGCUGAACUUAAGCAUAUCAAUAAGCGGAGGA